rnacentral:lncRNA from 1 species
AUGAACGUGCUGCACAGGUGUGUCCGCACAGGCCGCAACCCUGAAGGAGACGACGCUGUCGGGACUUCCUUACCAGAGACUAAUGAGGGGGAGAAACAUCGAUCUGAGGUUUCUUCUCGUGUGAAAAACAUGAAGAUAAACACCAGAGCAAAGAAUCCUGGGAAAUCAUUUCUUCCCAAAAUCCCCAACAGACAAACCAGGAUUUCCAACACAUCAGCAACCAAACAAAGAUCGAUGAAGAAAUCUACAACAACAUCACCAGCAGUGAGAAGGAAAAGUCCAAGAAGUAAGUACUUAGAUCGAGAAUAAAUAUGUUAUUGUAGCAGUCAUGUCAUGUUUUAGUUUCAUAUUUGUGUUUCUGUUUCCAGGAGUGUUGGAGGAGGAGGAAGGACUGACCGACUCUCUGAGUGACUGCCUGAGCUCGCUCUCUGUAGGAGAGUGGGAUGACGACGUCCUCUCAGAUUUAUGACAUUUCACACUCUCAUUUUUAUGAAACCUGAGAACAAUAUCGAAGAGGUUUCCUUCCCCUCUCUCUUCACCUUCCCCUCUCUCUUCACCUUCAUAGCUGCAGGUCAGACUUACAAACCUGUCGUCAUCUGUCAAAUAGGGGAUCUAAAUAAAGAAGUCUUCUCUGUUUACACUUCACCAUGUGUUGUACACUUUAGCGCCCUCCAGUGGCAGCAAGAGGAGAGUUUUUGUUCAUUUCAUUUCAAAGAAAUCACGUGUUCAGUUCUUAUCUCAGAGGAAAAGCAUGAGCUCAACUUCUGAAAGGUUUCCUUCAGUCAUUGACCUUUAAACAAAUGUUAUCUCCCAACAUGAAAUAUAAAUGAUGUUUCAAACACUUCUUUACAAUGCCGGGAAUGUAAUUGUUGACUAAUACUGAUAAAUGUGUAAUAUAAAGUUCUCUAAAAUUGUUUUGUAUUUAUUUCUGAUCAUUUCUCAUGUACUGUAUUUAGUCACAUUCAGGACGAUUCUUACACACUUUCUGACCAAACAAUCACAUUACACAUUUUUGACAUUUAUUUGGCUGCUAAAAC